CUGAGAUACAACCUUCCAAGGAUGCAUCAUUUGAUAGAAUAUGCCAGGAGCAUGGGACAUUGUAAGCACUGACCUUCUACACACCUAUACAAUGCUGGGUUACCAUGCUAAUGACUCCAGGCACUGAUUCUACUACGCUAUCCCAAAAGCAUCGAACAUAAGCUUUCUGUGUUUUCCGACUCUCAUUGAGUUCUAUGGCAUCUGCGACCUCAAGGGUGGUGAAUUGAAAACUAGAGUCUGAGGCCAGUUAGGAGGAAACACAGCAGGAACAUGCUCCUCCUUCACGAAGGCAUGAGAGUAAUGCAGAAGGUGACACGCCAUCUUGGAGAGAACUGGAAGAUACCCCUGCAGAAGAUACCCUUGCAGAAGAUCACCCUGCAGAAGCGCCCCUGCAGAAGAUAUCGCUGCAGCCGCCCCCCGUGCAGUAGCUUGCCGUGUAGCAGCUUCCCCUGAGGAGAACAUCCCCCCGAAAUUCCCUAGGUGGAGCUGAUGAGGGUCUUCCUGCAGGAAAUGCAGGACUCCCGGAUGGCACAACAGACACACACACCGUUUAUGACUAACGCAGUGAACACCGUGAUAGAAGGACAAAUAAAUAUGGUAAAUGUUCUAAAUAAUAUAUUUCCAGUCCUCCUGGAGGUGGCAUGUAGACCAUAUCCAGAAAUAGGAAGACC